CAUCACUCCUUUUGUGUUUGCCAGGAGGAAACACAUGGCAUUAGUCUGCCUGCAGUCUACACAGACAAGGACCCAACUUUUCUGAGACCUUUGCCCAGCAGCUUCAGCCAAUUUGACACAGAGGCACUGAAGGUGCUAACUUCCAACCAAUGCCAUGACUGCAAAGCAGCAGAAGAGAGAGGAAAAGCAACCCUCUGGAGAGGGAGAAUCAGUGGGUGUUUCAGGCAUACCAGAAGGUAGGCUGGGGUCUG
rnacentral:lncRNA from 1 species